rnacentral:rRNA from 1 species
GUGGAUUAGAUACCCUGGUAGUCCACGCCGUAAACGAUGAGAACUUGACGUCGGUUUGCUCAGCAAGUCGGUGUCGCAGCUAACGCGAUAAGUUCUCCGCCUGGGGAGUACGGCCGCAAGGUUGAAACUCAAAGGAAUUGACGGGGGCCCGCACAAGCGGUGGAGUAUGUGGUUUAAUUCGAUGCAACGCGAAGAACCUUACCUGGGCUUGACAUGCUAGGAAUCCUGCAGAGAUGUGGGAGUGCCCGCAAGGGAACCUAGACACAGGUGCUGCAUGGUUGUCGUCAGCU